UUAUGGCCAUAUCACGUUGAAACACCGGUUCUCGUACGACCACCGAAGUCAAGCAAGGUAUGUAACUAGAUUGGUGACCGCUUGGGAAUGUCAAGUGUUGUAA